GCAUGCACUUCCUUGAUUGCCUGAUCCCUCAUAGCCUACGUGUAGCCGAUCCCUCGGGGUUUUAUUUCUUCUUACCUGAAGGUAACAAAUUAAUUCGAGUGUACUCGGUGAAGCUUUCAACAUUAUGCUUGGUGGAGGACAACAUACCGGUCCAGAUUUAGCGAGCACAGAAUGGAGUUAUGAAAGACAUGGGACUAAAAUAUUAUGUGAUCAGGAAACAAAGGAAAAGAUUGAGAUGGCAUACUACAAAGAUGAACCCAGAGUAGACGUAAGCCUACAUGGAGAAGUGUUUAUUAUUGAUCUGAUGACUAAAACUGGCCAGGGGCAGCAGACUGGUGAACACAUAAUACUAACCAGGAAGUGGUUGAGAUCCUCUGAUCAACCUGCAGGAUUUAUUUUUCCUGAGAAUUGGACACCAAUGCCACACCCUAACACAACUGUGCACACAGUACAGCUCUCCUCAGACUCCUCAGAGUAUCAAGAUGUCAUGGACAAGUUGCAAGCCACUGCAAGUGCACUAAAUGUCCAGAAAAUUGAAUGAAUACAAAAUCCUCAUCUGUAUCAGACUUACA